UGCCCAUUAGCUCAGUUGUUCAGAGCGUCGUGCUGAUAACGCGAAGGUCGUGGGAUCCAUCCUCUAUGGGCCA